rnacentral:rRNA from 1 species
GACGAACGCUGGCGGCGUGCUUAACACAUGCAAGUCGAGCGGUAAGGCCCUUUCGGGGGGUACACGAGCGGCGAACGGGUGAGUAACACGUGGGUGACCUGCCCUCAGCUCUGGGAUAAGCCUGGGAAACCGGGUCUAAUACCGGAUAUGACUCCAUGACGCAUGUUGUGGGGUGGAAAGCCUUGUGCGGCUGAGGAUGGGCCCGCGGCCUAUCAGCUUGUUGGUGGGGUGAUGGCCUACCAAGGCGACGACGGGUAGCCGGCCUGAGAGGGCGACCGGCCACACUGGGACUGAGACACGGCCCAGACUCCUACGGGAGGCAGCAGUGGGGAAUAUUGGACAAUGGGGGCAACCCUGAUCCAGCGACGCCGCGUGUGUGAAGAAGGCCUGGCGGGUUGUAAAGC